CCCUUAGAGUUUGAUCCUGGCUCAGAGCGAACGCUGGCGGCAGGCUUAACACAUGCAAGUCGAGCGGGCGUAGCAAUACGUCAGCGGCAGACGGGUGAGUAACGCGUGGGAACGUACCUUUUGGUUCGGAACAACUGAGGGAAACUUCAGCUAAUACCGGAUAAGCCCUUACGGGGAAAGAUUUAUCGCCGAAAGAUCGGCCCGCGUCUGAUUAGCUUGUUGGUGAGGUAACGGCUCACCAAGGCGACGAUCAGUAGCUGGUCUGAGAGGAUGAUCAGCCACAUUGGGACUGAGACACGGCCCAAACUCCUACGGGAGGCAGCAGUGGGGAAUAUUGGACAAUGGGCGCAAGCCUGAUCCAGCCAUGCCGCGUGAGUGAUGAAGGCCCUAGGGUUGUAAAGCUCUUUUAACGGGGAAGAUAAUGACGGUACCCGUAGAAUAAGCCCCGGCUAACUUCGUGCCAGCAGCCGCGGUAAUACGAAGGGGGCUAGCGUUGCUCGGAAUCACUGGGCGUAAAGGGUGCGUAGGUGGAUUUUUAAGUCAGGGGUGAAAUCCUGGAGCUCAACUCCAGAACUGCCUUUGAUACUGGGAAUCUUGAGUUCGGGAGAGGUGAGUGGAACUGCGAGUGUAGAGGUGAAAUUCGUAGAUAUUCGCAAGAACACCAGUGGC
rnacentral:rRNA from 1 species